UCAGAACUGUUUGUGAUUAUAUGAAUCUCCACUUCAAUGGAUAAACAUAAGUUCCUGUCACAAUGACAGCAAGUUUUCUAAGGAUUCUUCUCCUAGCUCUGUCCUUCAUUGCUUUAAUGCCACAGAAAUCAGAGGGUCAAUUGGGCCAGUGGAAAGGGAGGUGCGGAUUGCAGCAAGAUACAAAGGAAGCAACCCUGUUAUCUGCCAAGCACAGCAAGGGAUCAUGCCUCUUAUGCCUUCGAUAACUAUUAUCAGAAGUUUAAGCAUGAAGGAGCAACUUGUUACUUCAAUGCUGCUGCUCUCAGCACUGAUCUUGAUCCAAAGAUAGUGUCGAUGCUUGUUGCCUUCGAGUCAUGUCCCACAUUGAUCUUCUUGUAGCUGAGGAAAGCAAU